UACGAAGGGGGCUAGCGUUGCUCGGAAUUACUGGGCGUAAAGCGCACGUAGGCGGCUUUCUAAGUCGGGGGUGAAAUCCUGGAGCUCAACUCCAGAACCGCCUUCGAUACUGGAGAGCUUGAGUCCGGGAGAGGUGAGUGGAACUGCGAGUGUAGAGGUGAAAUUCGUAGAUAUUCGCAAGAACACCAGUGGCGAAGGCGGCUCACUGGCCCGGUACUGACGCUGAGGUGCGAAAGCGUGGGGAGCAAACAGG
rnacentral:rRNA from 1 species